rnacentral:rRNA from 1 species
UACGAAGGGGGCUAGCGUUGCUCGGAAUCACUGGGCGUAAAGGGCGCGUAGGCGGCGUUUUAAGUCGGGGGUGAAAGCCUGUGGCUCAACCACAGAAUUGCCUUCGAUACUGGACGGCUUGAGUCCGGAAGAGGUCAGUGGAACUGCGAGUGUAGAGGUGAAAUUCGUAGAUAUUCGCAAGAACACCAGUGGCGAAGGCGGCUGACUGGUCCGGAACUGACGCUGAAGCGCGAAAGCGUGGGGAGCAAACAGG